rnacentral:rRNA from 2 species
GUAGGUGAACUGCGGAAGGAUCAUU